CCUUCUGUUGCCCAAUUUCUUGCUUUCCGUCUCAGUACCUAUUUCUUUAAUUGAAAAGUGACUGAUCAAAAGAAGAAAGCCUCUGAAACAAAGGCUGGAUUUGUUGGUGAUAAUCCCUCUUUACAAAUUAGUCCCGCAAAGUUAGAUGGAACUAAUUAUUGGCAUGGUCUAGAUCUUGUCUACUGUUCAUUCAGACUAGAGGACUGCAGGGAU
rnacentral:misc_RNA from 1 species